rnacentral:rRNA from 1 species
UGGGAAUUUGGACAAUGGGCGAAAGCCUGAUCCAGCAAUGCCGCGUGUGUGAAGAAGGCCUUCGGGUUGUAAAGCACUUUUGUCCGGAAAGAAAUCCUUGGCUCUAAUACAGUCGGGGGAUGACGGUACCGGAAGAAUAAGCACCGGCUAACUACGUGCCAGCAGCCGCGGUAAUACGUAGGGUGCAAGCGUUAAUCGGAAUUACUGGGCGUAAAGCGUGCGCAGGCGGUUUGCUAAGACCGAUGUGAAAUCCCCGGGCUCAACCUGGGAACUGCAUUGGUGACUGGCAGGCUAGAGUAUGGCAGAGGGGGGUAGAAUUCCACGUGUAGCAGUGAAAUGCGUAGAGAUGUGGAGGAAUACUGAUGGCG